rnacentral:rRNA from 1 species
GUGAUCAUGGCAGAGAGGUCCCACCCGUUCCCAUCCCGAACACGGUAGUUAAGCUCUCUCGCGUUGACGAUACUUGGUGGGCGACCGCCCGGGAAAAUAGAUCAUCGCCGGAA